CAGCAGCCGCGGGAAUACGUAGGUGGCAAGCGUUGUCCGGAAUUAUUGGGCGUAAAGGGCUCGCAGGCGGUUUCUUAAGUCUGAUGUGAAAGCCCCCGGCUCAACCGGGGAGGGUCAUUGGAAACUGGGAAACUUGAGUGCGGAAGAGGAGAGUGGAAUUCCACGUGUAGCGGUGAAAUGCGUAGAGAUGUGGAGGAACACCAGUGGCGAAGGCGACUCUCUGGUCUGUAACUGACGCUGAGGAGCGAAAGCGUGGGGAGCGAACAGGAUUAGAUACCCCCGUAGUCCCUGUCUCUUAUAC
rnacentral:rRNA from 1 species